AGUAUAAGCAAUUAUACCGUGAAACUGCGAAUGGCUCAUUAAAUCAGUUAUCGUUUAUUUGAUAGUACCUUACUACUUGGAUAACCGUGGUAAUUCUAGAGCUAAUACAUGCUUAAAACCCCGACUUCUGGAGGGGUGUAUUUAUUAGAUAAAAAACCAACGCCCUUCGGGGCUUUUUGGUGAUUCAUGAUAACUUUACGGAUCGCAUGGCCUUGCGCCGGCGACGGUUCAUUCAAAUUUCUGCCCUAUCAACUUUCGAUGGUAAGGUAUUGGCUUACCAUGGUUUCAACGGGUAACGGGGAAUUAGGGUUCGAUUCCGGAGAGGGAGCCUGAGAAACGGCUACCACAUCCAAGGAAGGCAGCAGGCGCGCAAAUUACCCAAUCCCGACACGGGGAGGUAGUGACAAUAAAUACUGAUACAGGGCUCUUUUGGGUCUUGUAAUUGGAAUGAGUACAAUUUAAACCUCUUAACGAGGAACAAUUGGAGGGCAAGUCUGGUGGACAAUUCAGCUCCCAUUCUGCUGACGCCAGAGAUAGUCGGGCAUCCUUUUGGGGGUGUUAUGCCGGCUAGUCGAUGUACCUAACAAACUGAUGGGGAGGUACCGGCAAGACAACCUGGAUCGGGGAAGGCUAAGGCGUCCAUUGCGGAUGCUAUGCUAAUCCCGAGCAGAGCUGCCACGGAGCGAUCUGUGGACAGCCUGUGUAGAGCACGCUAAGGUGUCGGUCAACUCACGUAGUUGGCUUAAGGGACGUGCCAUUCCCACUCGAAAGGGUGGCUGUCAGCAAUAGCGCCCAUCACGCAAAGGCUGACAGGCGUCAAACAGGGGGUUUGACGGUAAAAAUAAGGCCAGCAGCCGCGGUAAUUCCAGCUCCAAUAGCGUAUAUUAAAGUUGUUGCAGUUAAAAAGCUCGUAGUUGAAACUUGGGUCUGGCUGGCAGGUCCGCCUCACCGCGUGUACUUGUCCGGCCGGGCCUUCCUUCUGGAGAACCUCAUGCCCUUCACUGGGCGUGUUGGGGACCAGGACUUUUACUUUGAAAAAAUUAGAGUGUUCAAAGCAGGCCUUUGCUCGAAUACGUUAGCAUGGAAUAAUAGAAUAGGACGUGCGGUCCUAUUUUGUUGGUUUCUAGGACCGCCGUAAUGAUUAAUAGGGACAGUCGGGGGCAUCAGUAUUCAAUUGUCAGAGGUGAAAUUCUUGGAUUUAUUGAAGACUAACUACUGCGAAAGCAUUUGCCAAGGAUGUUUUCAUUAAUCAGUGAACGAAAGUUAGGGGAUCGAAGACGAUCAGAUACCGUCGUAGUCUUAACCGUAAACUAUGCCGACUAGGGAUCGGGCGAUGUUCUUUUUCUGACUCGCUCGGCACCUUACGAGAAAUCAAAGUUUUUGGGUUCUGGGGGGAG
rnacentral:rRNA from 1 species